rnacentral:rRNA from 1 species
AGUGAACGCUGGCGGUAGGCCUAACACAUGCAAGUCGAACGGCAGCACAGUAAGAGCUUGCUCUUAUGGGUGGCGAGUGGCGGACGUGUGAGGAAUACAUCGGAAUCUACUUUUUCGUGGGGGAUAACGUAGGGAAACUUACGCUAAUACCGCAUACGACCUACGGGUGAAGGCAGGGGAUCUUUGGACCUUUCGCGAUUGAAUGAGCCGAUGUCGGAUUAGCUAGUUGGCGGGGUAAUGGCCCACCAAGGCGACGAUCCGUAGCUGGUCUGAGAGGAGGAUCGGCCACACUGGAGGUGAGACACGGUCCAGACUCCUACGAGAGGCAGCAGUGUGGAAUGUUGGGCAAUGGGCGCAAGCCUGACCCAGCCAUAGCGCGUGGGUGAAGAAGGCGUUCGGGUUGUAAAGCCCUUUUGUUGGGAAAGAAAAGCAGCAGGUUAAUACCCCGCUGUUCUGACGGUACCGAAAGAAUAAGCACCGGCUAACUUCGUG